UUCUUUUAUUAUCUUCCCCCGCCCUUUUUUUUUUUGAAAUAUAACAUUUACUUAUGGUAAAAAACACAAAAUGUUAAGUGUGCAACUUGAACUUGCUCAUAUGUACAAACCAGUGUAAAUAACUGCCCAAAUUAUAUACAGAGUAUUUCAGCACCCUUGAAGGUUCCCUGGUGUCCCUUUUCAGUCAGUAACCACAGCCCUCUCACAUCCCCUCAAUCCUGCUCAGGAGUACCACUAAUCUGAAUUAUAUUCCCAUAGAUUAGUUUUGUCUCUUCUUCAACUUCAAAUAAAUAGAAUCACACAAUGUGGACUGUUUCAUGUAGCUUCUUUCACUCAACAUUGUGUCUGCAAGAGUUAGUUACAUGAUGCAUGUAAACAUAGUCGUCUUCAUUGUGGUAUAGGAUUACAUUAUACAAAUAUAGCACAGUUUACCCAUUCUUCUGGACAUUUGGGUUGUUUUUUAGGUUUGGGCUACUAUGAUACAGCUGCAAUGAGCAUUAUGGUAUAUGCUUUUUGGUGGAUGUAAAUACACAUGCAGGAUUGCUUAGAAAUAAGGUAUGUUUAACUUUAGAAAGUACUACAUAACAUUUUCCCAAAGUGGUUAUACUAAUUUAUACUCCAAUCAGCAAUGUAAAAAAGGUCUAGUUGUUCCACAUCCUCACCAACACUUGCUAUUCUCAGUCUGUUUUAUUUUAGCCAUUCUGCAGAUGUAUAGUGUUAUCUAGAUUUAAUUUGCCUCACACUUUCACUUUUUCAUUGACAUUGACUUUUUCAUUGUAUUCUGUUCAUGAUAAAUGGUUAGUUUCCGAAGUGUCCAUAACAAUAAUUUAAAAAAUCUAACCCUUUAGCUUCUCUGCUGCCUGAUGCUAUUUUGGUGGGGUGGGAGCACACAUGGAGAUUUGAUUUCCUCUUUUGUAAGAUGUUCAAGUAUUUUGUGUAUUUUAAAAUCAGUUGUCUUUAUUGAUUUGUAGGAAUUCUUUCUCUAUUCUGGACACAAGUGCUUUCUUGGAGGCCUAACAGAAACCAGCCUUUUUGAAAGACUCCACCACUGAUAUGGACCAACCACCUGCCACUGCCCCUCCCUUUUGGCACAACAACCGACCAGCAUUCCUUCCUGAUAAGAAACCACCAACCACCGCUCUGGCCAGUCUACAGAGAAUGCAGUAGUGAGGGUUUUCAGGUCCUCUGCUUCACUUUUUAACAUCCAAGGGCUGAAAACUGCACCACUGGAUCAUGCUAACACUGCCAUUUUUGAACAUGGGUCCCAUAGAAGGGCAUGAAGUUCAAUUGCACAUGCUCAUGUUUCCUGUUUCAUAAAUAUUCAUGACUCCUCCUAUAGCUUGUUGAAUAUGUACAUUUGACCACCUCGCUCAGCCGGAAUUCCCGUCUUAUUCUCCCCUCCCUCAAAGUAUCUGUUUCUGGCUUCUCGUUGGAGGCUGUGCUUCCCAGCCUGUCAAAAUGGCCACCCUGCAGGCUGCAACCCUUUAUGAAAAAUAAAGCUCUCCUUUACAAAUUUAUGAACCUCAUCAUUCCUCAGUUGACACAAGUGAUUCUAUAUCUACCCAGUUCCUUUGAAAUAAUAGCAUUUCAUUGCAAAAGAGACUCUACUGGUUGGCUAUGGUUAUGUUUAAAAGAAAGAGAGACCUGCCUUCUGUGGAGGUAUGUGCUGGUUUUAUAAGCAAGACAGGAAAUUUAAAACCUGGCUGUUUGUCACAAAAUAACCCUUACUCAAUAAAAUUGUUUUGAAUUAAGAAUUUUAAUCUUCCCAGCAACCUUUAUUCUCAUUUAACUCCUUCUAAACUAAUCUGUACAUCGUAAUAUUCUUGUUGUACAAGAAAUGGUGAACUGGUUUGAAGAUUUUCCAAUUUUUAAAAAUCUUCCUGAUUCUAGUGUCUUCAUACUUUCACUGUUAUAAGGAAAAUGUGCUCUCAUAGGAAUGAAAUGGGGUAGGAGGACGGGCGAGAAUAACACCAUUGCUUUUGUAUCAAUUAAAAGAUUCAGAUAUCAAUAGACUUUGUUACAAUAACCCCCAAAUAAUUUUAUGUUAAUGAUAUAGAUCUUGGGGAGUAAUCAUUAUUAAUCUUCCAAAUGUUCACUUCUUAAUUCUGAAUGCAAGAAUUGAGAAGAUUUUUUUUGUGUGUGAGGGCAGAGGAAAUGCUUUGGAGGUGGAGGACCUGACCACAAAGGUAGGUUUAAGGCUAGGCUAUCUCUAGCUUGGUUCAAAUUUUAACUUUAAAAAUAAAGUGUGAGCAAUUUUUGAAACCUUUAAAACAAAGAUGUCUUAAUGUGACCAUUUUCCUGGGAUGGAUUAUGUUGAAUAAGUAUAGAGGAAACAUAAAACCAAAGGAGUAGGUAGCAGUGCCAAUGGAAAAAUCUACCAAAACUGAAGUCACCUGGCUCUGAAAUCGUAAGUCAAUGAGAGAAUAUGAUUUUUUUUUUAAGUUGCCCGUACAUAGUACCUUCUUGGAUCACGUGUUCCAGGCCACCAGUAGCUUUUCCUCAUGAGUUUUAGAUAAGUAAAGGUUCUGCUAGCAGCCUUAAAGAUGUGUUUGUGCCAUUAGGACAUAUGGGAGAGAAUAUUCCAGGGGCCAGGGCAUUUCUCUGAACUGACAAUCAGUUGUGCCUAGUUUCUAGGCCACAACUGAAACACGAUGAAGAAGUCUGAGCUGUUAGCCCAAAGGCUAGUAGCAGUGAUUUAUUUCUACUUCAACGUCAACACUAUCUUAUUGUAUUUAUCUAUGUAGACUCCUAAAAAUGAGGUUCUAAAGAAAACUAUACUUCAACAAAGAAAGCCCAAGGGUGACACACCACGUUUAUUCCAAACCUAUUCAUGGUCCAUCUCCUAACUUCAAACCAGCAGCCUAGCAGAGACUAACCCCAAAACAGUUUUAUGAGGAAAGAGAAAGGGUCAUUAAUAACUUCCGAGGCAGGGAUUGAACAAUGAGGAUAAAUGUCCUCUUUCCCAGAGAGUUCUGUGAGAUUUGAGGAAGCUAUUAUUUAAAGUUCAAAAAGCUACAUAUUAAAAUUCAUCUAGAUAGGCAAGAAGGUGAGACUCAGUCACAUCUGUUGUCCUUCAGGCAAACAACUUGCUGCUUUUUUAUAUGACAGUAAAGUUAUUAUGAAAGUUACCGGCUGCAACAGGCAUAAUUAGCCUAAUUCAGUACUAUCUUCUGCCUAGUGCCCGAUGAAUAAAGGCAUGGCACAAAGCGAAAUGGACCCAGCAACUAUAGAACCAGCCUCUGGGUGUUUCAUAUC